rnacentral:rRNA from 1 species
GGUUAAGCGACUAAGCGUACACGGUGGAUGCCCUGGCAGUCAGAGGCGAUGAAGGACGUGCUAAUCUGCGAAAAGCGUCGGUAAGGUGAUAUGAACCGUUAUAACCGGCGAUGUCCGAAUGGGGAAACCCAGUGCAAUUCGUUGCACUAUCGUUAACUGAAUACAUAGGUUAACGAGGCGAACCGGGGGAACUGAAACAUCUAAGUACCCCGAGGAAAAGAAAUCAACCGAGAUUCCCCCAGUAGCGGCGAGCGAACGGGGAGCAGCCCAGAGUCUGAAUCAGCUUGUGUGUUAGUGGAACGGUCUGGAAAGUCCGACGGUACAGGGUGAUAGUCCCGUACACCAAAAUGCACAGGUUGUGAACUCGAAGAGUAGGGCGGGACACGUGGUAUCCUGUCUGAAUAUGGGGGGACCAUCCUCCAAGGCUAAAUACUCCUGACUGACCGAUAGUGAACCAGUACCGUGAGGGAAAGGCGAAAAGAACCCCGGCGAGGGGAGUGAAAAAGAACCUGAAACCGUGUACGUACAAGCAGUGGGAGCACCUUCGGGUGUGACUGCGUACCUUUUGUAUAAUGGGUCAGCGACUUAUAUUCUGUAGCAAGGUUAACCGUAUAGGGGAGCCGCAGGGAAACCGAGUCUUAACUGGGCGUUAAGUUGCAGGGUAUAGACCCGAAACCCGGUGAUCUAGCCAUGGGCAGGUUGAAGGUUGGGUAACACUAACUGGAGGACCGAACCGACUAAUGUUGAAAAAUUAGCGGAUGACUUGUGGCUGGGGGUGAAAGGCCAAUCAAACCGGGAGAUAGCUGGUUCUCCCCGAAAGCUAUUUAGGUAGCGCCUCGUGAAUUCAUCUUCGGGGGUAGAGCACUGUUUCGGCUAGGGGGUCAUCCCGACUUACCAACCCGAUGCAAACUACGAAUACCGAAGAAUGUUAUCACGGGAGACACACGGCGGGUGCUAACGUCCGUCGUGAAGAGGGAAACAACCCAGACCGCCAGCUAAGGUCCCAAAGUCACAGUUAAGUGGGAAACGAUGUGGGAAGGCACAGACAGCCAGGAUGUUGGCUUAGAAGCAGCCAUCAUUUAAAGAAAGCGUAAUAGCUCACUGGUCGAGUCGGCCUGCGCGGAAGAUGUAACGGGGCUAAACUGUGCACCGAAGCUGCGGCAGCGACACUAUGUGUUGUUGGGUAGGGGAGCGUUCUGUAAGCCUGCGAAGGUGGCCUGUGAGGGUUGCUGGAGGUAUCAGAAGUGCGAAUGCUGACAUAAGUAACGAUAAUGCGGGUGAAAAGCCCGCACGCCGGAAGACCAAGGGUUCCUGUCCAACGUUAAUCGGGGCAGGGUGAGUCGACCCCUAAGGCGAGGCCGAAAGGCGUAGUCGAUGGGAAACAGGUUAAUAUUCCUGUACUUGGUGUUACUGCGAAGGGGGGACGGAGAAGGCUAUGUUAGCCGGGCGACGGUUGUCCCGGUUUAAGCAUGUAGGCGGAGGUUCCAGGUAAAUCCGGUACCUUAUUAACGCUGAGGUGUGAUGACGAGGCACUACGGUGCUGAAGUAACAAAUGCCCUGCUUCCAGGAAAAGCCUCUAAGCAUCAGGUAACAUUAAAUCGUACCCCAAACCGACACAGGUGGUCAGGUAGAGAAUACCAAGGCGCUUGAGAGAACUCGGGUGAAGGAACUAGGCAAAAUGGUGCCGUAACUUCGGGAGAAGGCACGCUGAUAUGUAGGUGAAGCCCCUGCGGGUGGAGCUGAAAUCAGUCGAAGAUACCAGCUGGCUGCAACUGUUUAUUAAAAACACAGCACUGUGCAAACACGAAAGUGGACGUAUACGGUGUGACGCCUGCCCGGUGCCGGAAGGUUAAUUGAUGGGGUUAUCCGUAAGGAGAAGCUCUUGAUCGAAGCCCCGGUAAACGGCGGCCGUAACUAUAACGGUCCUAAGGUAGCGAAAUUCCUUGUCGGGUAAGUUCCGACCUGCACGAAUGGCGUAAUGAUGGCCAGGCUGUCUCCACCCGAGACUCAGUGAAAUUGAACUCGCUGUGAAGAUGCAGUGUACCCGCGGCAAGACGGAAAGACCCCGUGAACCUUUACUAUAGCUUGACACUGAACAUUGAGCCUUGAUGUGUAGGAUAGGUGGGAGGCUUUGAAGCGUGGACGCCAGUCUGCGUGGAGCCAACCUUGAAAUACCACCCUUUAAUGUUUGAUGUUCUAACGUUGGCCCCUUAUCGGGGUUGCGGACAGUGUCUGGUGGGUAGUUUGACUGGGGCGGUCUCCUCCCAAAGAGUAACGGAGGAGCACGAAGGUUAGCUAAUCCUGGUCGGACAUCAGGAGGUUAGUGCAAUGGCAUAAGCUAGCUUGACUGCGAGCGUGACGGCGCGAGCAGGUGCGAAAGCAGGUCAUAGUGAUCCGGUGGUUCUGAAUGGAAGGGCCAUCGCUCAACGGAUAAAAGGUACUCCGGGGAUAACAGGCUGAUACCGCCCAAGAGUUCAUAUCGACGGCGGUGUUUGGCACCUCGAUGUCGGCUCAUCACAUCCUGGGGCUGAAGUAGGUCCCAAGGGUAUGGCUGUUCGCCAUUUAAAGUGGUACGCGAGCUGGGUUUAGAACGUCGUGAGACAGUUCGGUCCCUAUCUGCCGUGGGCGCUGGAGAAUUGAGGGGGGCUGCUCCUAGUACGAGAGGACCGGAGUGGACGCAUCACUGGUGUUCGGGUUGUCAUGCCAAUGGCAUUGCCCGGUAGCUAAAUGCGGAAGAGAUAAGUGCUGAAAGCAUCUAAGCACGAAACUUGCCCCGAGAUGAGUUCUCCCUGAGACUUUAAGUCUCCUGAAGGAACGUUAAAGACGAUGACGUUGAUAGGUCGGGUGUGUAAGCGUAGCGAUACGUUGAGCUAACCGAUACUAAUGAACCGUGAGGCUUAACCUU